UACGUAGGGGGCAAGCGUUGUUCGGAUUUACUGGGCGUAAAGGGCGCGUAGGCGGUGGCACAAGUCAGUUGUGAAAUCUCCGGGCUUAACUCGGAAAGGUCAACUGAUACUGUGCGACUAGAGUGCAGAAGGGGCAACUGGAAUUCUCGGUGUAGCGGUGAAAUGCGUAGAUAUCGAGAGGAACACCUGCGGCGAAGGCGGGUUGCUGGGCUGACACUGACGCUGAGGCGCGAAAGCCAGGGGAGCGAACGGG
rnacentral:rRNA from 1 species